CAAUUAGUGACCUCCAGGUUUCUUUCCAAUAUGAAUUGACUCCUUGACACAUUUUUACCCAGCUACCUCUGCCAUCAUCUUGGACAAUAGGAAUCCACCUUCUAACAAGGAAGCUCCCAUCUCCAUGACUUCCUGAACUUCAAUUACCUUACUGGUUCUAUACACUUCAGUUACCCAUAUAGCUAUGACUCAAACUCUGUGACUAUCCCCAGUAAUUCAGUGGCUCAAAUUUAAAUGUGAAAAAUCCCAGUCUUUUGAUUUCCCAUUCUUACAGUAACUCAUUCCGUCAAUCCCUACACCCACUUUUCCUAUUUUUACAAUAUCCAGUCCCUUGGGAGUCAGUGAGCUUUUUUUGUCUCUGUAGAUGUUCAGGAAGAAGAAGAAUGAUCAUCUGUCAGCAACACAACCCAGGGCUACCCUGGCCUUUUGAAAAAGUCAUGUUGCCCUAGAAGGUGGUGGGAUAUGGAAUUCAAAGACAUAGUGCAACUGUGAUUUAAAUGAUUGAUUAUAGUAGCUGCAGAGGCCUGAACUUCCAAGAAGUUUUCUCUAUUUAAAUAACCAAGGUUCUAAAUUAGGCACCAGAUAAUGACAAAAUAAUUAAAGCAAUAAAUGCUGAAAAAUUUUAGCAGGAUAAAGAAAAGAUGUGUGUCAAUUUAAAUAAGCUCAGUAAUAGGGGUAGGGUAUUCAGAGGUAUAAACUGUUAUGUAUAAAUUAAAUAAGCUCUGUGGAUAUAUUGUACAACAAGGUAAUAUAGCCAAUAUUUUAUAAUAACUAUAAAUGGAGUAUUACCUUUAAAGAUUGUGAAUCACUAUGUUAUACAGCUGUAUCAUAAAAUAUAAUAUGGUGUAUCAACUGCACUUCAAUAAGUAAAUUGCUAGUUAGCUACCUGGAUAACACUGAGUAAUACCUUGCAAAUGCAAGACAUACAGUGAGACACAAGAGACUGCAAUAUGUAAUACCUAGUUUAUUGAAGGAAAACGGUGCUGCUCAAAAACACAUACAAUGUGUAGGAUAAGACUUAUUAGGGCUAUAACAUCAGCCUCAAAACCAGUGUGCUGAGGUAAAUUAAAAUUUGCCUCAGUUUUUAGACUCAAAUUUAGAUCAGACUCAAUUAGAAGAAACUUACUGAUUGUAACAAGAAAAGAUAAUAUAAGAAAAAGAAUACUAAACUUGCAAACUAAGUGAAAGCGACAUGAAAAGUCAAAAUAUAUACAAAUUUAUGACCAAUCUGAAAUCCAAAUGUUAAUCUCCAGACUGCUGGGAUAAAAAUACUCUUACAUGGAAAUUCUAAGCAUUUAUUGGACUUGGGAUUAUUGUUUUAGUAUCUUACAUUGUCAUCAAGGCAGACAAUCAUUAACAAUCCACCUUUUUUUAACUAUUAAGAGGUCAAAAAAUAGAAUAAUUUAUGCAUCAAAAAUGUCUGAGACAUUGGUUACCAAUUAAUAAAAUCAAAGGGUAGAAUGUUAGAAGAGACCCUCAAAAAUCCUAGGACAAUCUAGCAUGAACAUGGGAUUAUUUUUCUUUUCCCUGAGGAACAAAAGGAAGUUAAUACACCAUAACCAUUGUUUGCAAGCUAUGUACAAGAUCUAUGUGCCUCCUUUCGAGAAAAUAAAUACACUGAGGGAGGUGAAAACAUAACACCUGCCAUAUACCUUGCUCAAAGCUCCUUGUUAGAAAAUUAUGCUGACUUGCUCACUCUGGUUCUUCUAGAAAAGAGAAACAACGUCAUCUCUCAUCGUCCUAAAUGAAUGAAGAGAAUUAUUGUUGACAGAUACAAUGAACCUAAAAUUUGGGCUCUGAAUAAAGUCUAAAAAAGAAUCAUACCACCUUCCCAUUACUACUGUUCUUUCCUGAAACAGCCACUGAAUUUCUGCCAAAGACCUGAGAACUCUGAGCAAAACCUUUCUACUACAUCCUAUCAUCAAGCAAGCUCUGCCAUCUUGAAUUCCAGGGUGAUUCAGAUCUUUAUUAUUUUAUUAUUGAAUUUUCUGAUCCAUUAUUUUCCUAUUACAUAUCUUUUAAAAUUAUUUUUAUUUUUUCUGAUUCAGAUCUUUAAAUCUCACUUUUGACAUAAAGCUGGAAGCAAGGUAGAUAAAACAAGGAUAUUUCUUAGCACCAUGUUUGAUAGCGAAGAAUGGACUGACAAAACUCUUGACAUAAGAGCCCUGAAUUGUCCGUUUCAUUGCAAGGAAAGCAUAUGCAUAACUUCUCACUCAGACUUCAGGAGACAUCCUUUAAUUUGGGGAAAGUCCUAUGACACUUUAUUCAAGGGUCAACUGGACAAAUAACUGCUAAGUUUCCUUGCAACUCCAGAGCUUUACAUAAGUGCUUGUUAUGUAGCUAGCUCCACAUAUAGCACUGAAAUAAUCUCUCAUGCAAAUGUUCAAAGGGUAGGAAAGGAAAUGCAAUGAGAAUAGUUUUAGCAUUUCCACAAAGGGAAAGUUGAUCUUUAUCAUCUGAUGUGCAGUUAGACACUGGAUGGAUUUAGUACACUUGUUAACGUCAGCAAGAAUCCUAACUUGAUGUUUAAAAGCUGCCACUAUUGUUGGUGGUGGUUUUAACUCCCCUUCAAAUAUAUAUAUAGGAGUUCUCAUCAUGGUGCAUCUGAAAUGAAUCCGACUAGUAUCCAUGGGGAUUCAGGUUCGAUCCCGGGCCUCGCUCAAUGGGUCAGGGAUCCAGCAUUGCCAUGAGCUGUGGUGUAGAUCACAAACAUGGCUUGGAUCCCAUGUUGCUGUGGCUGUGGCAUAGGUCAGCAGCUGUAGGUGCAGCCCUAAAAACUGUGUGUGUGUGUGUGUGUGUGUGUGUGUGUGUGUGUGUGUGUGUGUAUGUAUACACCCCACUUAAGUAAUUCAAGCCUGAAAAAAAUUUGUAAAAUACUUCAGUUGUUAGCAUACUAUGGAAAAUUAAGCAGGUACUAAGCUGUUCAAAUGAAGUAAAUAGGUGAAAAAUGUAUCUAGCUCUUUAGCUUUACUCAGCCAUCCCCAUUACGGCCAAAAAUUCUUCAGGAAAAUAAUACAAGACAAAAGCUAGUUUGAAACCAAUGUCACAGGGGAAAAUGGUUCGAAACUCUAAAUAAGCUGAGUUUUAAAAGGAAAAUAAUGAAGCCACUAGCUUAAAAGCAAUAUACAAUUUAAAAGAUAGUCAUUCAGUGUGGACUACUUCACAUUUAAAAUGACUAAGCUCUUUCAUUUAAGGCAAGCCAGGUAUGGUGUUUACACAAACCAUUAGAAGCUGCUGGAAUAUAUGAAAUCCUAAAGAAUCCAAUAACACAUGCUGUGUGAUGAAUCACACAAAGCUUCUGAAUAUAAAAUAGCAGAGACAACACAAAUUUGAGAUUUGAAAUCUUAAAAGUGAGACCUGACAUCUUUGAUAGAAGUGCUGGAAUUAAUAAUGGCAUUUUGAAGUCUAUAUUAAAAAGAAAAUAAGCAAAUCCAUGUUCUUUUGGAAUGCACAUGCUCAUUAAGAGAUCCUAACAAGCUGACUGCCACAAAUGGGACAUAAUAGGUGUCUGAGGAGUGUCUGUGGCUCCCUGUCUCCCAGCCCAUAGAGUUGCCUUGGUGACUUUCUGUCUCAUACUGGUUAGCUCUCCAAAAAUACAACAAGCCAGAUGCCUGUGGGUUCGGGUGUGUCUAAUUGAGCCACACUGAGCACCAAAUGACCUGGAAAUGUUUAAUCCAGCUUUUGUCAGAACAAAUUACUGGGAUGUUCUCAUGCCCCUUAGGGACUAAUUUAUCAUCGGAUCCCAAGUCCUGUGCUAUGGGCCAAGGCUGAGGCUGACUUUGCCCCUGCGUGCAGAGUCUCUGGGUCUGGUGUUCUGAUAUGAAGAGGAACCACUCUAAAUGGGGGAACCAAUAAGAAGAUGGCCACAUGAGAUACUGCAAGGGCUCUGGAAAGAGGUGUGCCUCUUGUGCCUUUUGCUCCUCAAAGAGCUCUUCUUAGGAAAGAGAGGCUUAGUAUGCCCUCUACAAAUGGCCCUAUGAGACGUUACCGCUGAGACUGUAUACCAUGUGCUAUGGAUCGAAUGUUUGUGUUUGCCCCCUCCCCCACCAAAUUCAUGUCUUGAAACCCUACUCCAUAGUGUGAUGGUUUUAGGAAGUAGAACCUUGGACAGGUAACUAGAAUCCUAGGAGGCCAUGAGAGGGCAACCCUCAUGAAUGGGAUUAGUACCCUCAUAGAAUCAUGUUAGAUCCUGCCCCUUCUCUUUGCCCCCUGCCCUGUAAGGAUAUAACAAAAAGACAGCAGUCUGCAAACAACCUGAAAGUGGGCCUCUGCAGAACCCAACAUACUGGCCCCGGAUCUUGGACCUCCAGCCUCCAGAACUGUGAGAAAUAUAUUUCUGUAGUCUAUAAGCCACUCAGUCCAUGGUACUUUGUUAACAACAGCAGAACUAAGAUACCAUGCCAUGGCAGUGAGCACUAAACUAGCAGUUCUACUUUUUCAGUAUCAAAUGAUUCCUAUUUCAUAAACAAUUCACUAGGGCACAGGGAUUGCAGGAAAAAAACUUGAAAAUCAGGUUUGAGCUUAGUUUAUAUUAAUGUCAGAUAGGAUAAGCUGAGCUCCCUCUCAACUCACUGCUUACAACAGGACCCUGAUGGGGCACAGAGUGCUAGCUGCAAGGGCUUCCAGGAAUCUCACUAGACCUUCUCUGCACUCAAACUCCUCACUCAGCCUCAUGGACUCAUGCUUCACACUCCUUGACUUUGUUUUGUUAUUGUUCUUUUGGGCUUUGGACUCGGAGUGUUGAGUACAGUAGUCUUGAGUUUCAGGCUUUUCAUUAUCCUCAAUCCAAGCAAAGCCCUUCUCUUGUUUUAUUUCUGUAUUUUUUCCCAUAGUAAUCUACCCACACAGUUACUUCACCUCCCUCCUGCCCCAUAGGCAUUAAUUCCAAUGUGUUAAUAGAGGUCCUUGGAUCUAUAUGGAUCUUGGAAAGAUAUGUGACUGUGAUUUCAAUGUAUAUAAAUAGUAUUGAAUUUUAUAUAUAUAUAUAUAUGCAUAUAUGUACAUAUAUAUCACUGCAUCUACAUAAAUGUAAUACUGUUGCCUCUAGCUGAUGUCAAGAAUUCCAUUGUUUGCAUCUACUGCUUCUUACUAAGUGCAGCCAUUCUGCUCUGCAGAGAUUGCUCCUUUACAUUCCCAGGAGGGAUGCACCAGAAUUCCUGUUUGCUCACACUUGGUUUUAUCCAACUUUCUAACUUUGGAUGAUCUGAUGGUGGUACAGUGGGUCUUGUUAACUGUUGCAUUUCUCUGAUUGCUGCUUAAAUUGGAAGUCUCUUCACAUAUUUGUUACCCAUUUACAUUUCUCUUUUGGUGGGUGUCUUAUUUCUUUUGACCAUUUUUUGUUUAUUGAUUUAUUCACUGUAUAUCUUAGAUAUUAGUCCCUUGUUAGUAAAGUAUGUAUCUUCUUCAUGAUGGUAACAGAGUUCCAAGAGAGAAAGCACAGAAGCAUGUAUACAAGGCUUCUUGAAGCUUCGUCUCAGAGCUGACCCACCAUCACUUUUUGCCUCAUUCUAACGGCAAAUCAAGUCACAAAGCUAAGGCAGAUUUAAAGGAUGGGGAAAUAGACUGCCUCUUGAUUAAAUGAACUACAAAUUCACAUUGCAAAGGGCUAGUCAGGACCAUUUUUGCAAUCAAUCUACUACUCAAUUAUUUUAGUUAUCUAUUGAUUUAUAGCCAAGCACCCCCCCCCCAAUUUCAUGGCUUAUGACAACAAUUCAUUAUUAUCUCUUAUGGUUCUGGAUGGAUUUAUAUGAGAAGUUCUCAGUUGGGGUCUCUAAAGUAGUUACAGUCAGAUGAUGGCUGGGACUAGAGUGGUUAAUGUUAAUGACUGUUAUAUUCUUUUAAUUUUGAAUUAUUUCCUUUGAAAAAUUUUGGUGAAGAAAUAUUCUUCAUUUUGGGAGUUCCCAUUGUGGCUCAGUGGGUUACUAACCCAACUAGCAUCCAUGAGGAUGUGGGUUUGAUCCCUGGUCUUGCUCAGUAGGUUAAGGAUCCAGUGUUGCCGUGAGCUGUGGUGUAGGUUGCAGAUGCUGUUCAGAUCCUGUAUUGCUAUGACUAUGGUGUAGUCUGGAAGCUGCAACUCCAAUUUGACCCCUAGCUUGGGAACUUACAUAUGGUGCAGGUGUGGCCCUAAAAAAAGAAAAGAAAAGAAAUAUUCUUCAUUCAUAUCAAGUAUAACAUGUGUUUCUAAAAUAUAUCAUCACUGGCAUGUUUAGAUUCGUAUGGGAUUCAGUCAGAAGUGAUCCUUAGAUGUAGUGACUAUAACUCAAGUAGCAAUUUUAUUAUCAAACGGUAUAACUGGCAUGUUUUGGCACUAAAAUAUUAGAAACAGUUGAAAGAGUUGACUUUUUUUUUUUCUUUUUAGGGCCACACCCAUAGCAUAUGGAGGUUCUCAGGCUAGGGGUCCAACUGGAGCUACAUCUCCUGCCCUAUGCCACAGCCACAGCAAUGCCAGAUCUGAGCCACGUCUGUGACUUACACCACAGCUCACAGCAACACCGGAUCCUUUAACCCACUGAGCGAGGCCAGGGAUUGAACCCGAAACCUCAUGGUUCCUAGUCAGAUUCAUUUCCACUGCGCCACAAUGGGAACUCCAGAGUUGAUUUUUAAGAGAGAGUUGAUUUUAAGUUUUUUGUUUGUUUUAUUUUGUUUUUAGGAAACAUUUGGAAGCCUUUUUCUCCUAAGGGCUUCCCAUGGGUCCUAAAUAUAUAAUUUCUUUAGCAGGAGCCCAACCCUACUCUGUGGCAGCCCUCUGCUCACUCACCAAAAAGAUCUGGGUGAGCGGAGUCCACUCCCCACUGUGGUGUGGCUCCAGCCAGGCCCUUUGGUGCUAGGAAAGGCAUGGAGGCCAG
rnacentral:lncRNA from 1 species